AGAGAAUAGAUACCCUGGUAGUCCACGCCGUAAACGAUGGAUGCUAGCUGUUAUCAGUAUCGACCCUGGUAGUAGCGAAGCUAACGCGUUAAGCAUCCCGCCUGAGGAGUACGAGCGCAAGCUUAAAACUCAAAGGAAUUGACGGGGACCCGCACAAGCGGUGGAGCGUGUUGUUUAAUCCGAUGGUAAGCGAAGAACCUUACCAAGGUUUGACAUCCUGGGAAAGUCCGCGAAAGCGGACCGUGCCUUCGGGAACCCAGUGACAGGUGAUGCAUGGCCGUCGUCAGCUCGUGUCGUGAGAUGUUUGGUUAAGUCCAUCAACGAGCGCAACCCUUAUAGUCUGUUGUAUUUCUCAGGCUAGGCUGCCCCGGUAACGGGGAGGAAGGAGGGGAUGAUGUCAGGUCCGUAUUUCCCUUACACCUUGGGCUACAAACACGCUACAAUGGCCGGUACAAAGGGCUGCCAAGCAGCAAUGCGGAGCAAAUCCCAUCAAAGCCGGUCUCAGUUCGGAUUGUUGGCUGAAACUCGCCAGC
rnacentral:rRNA from 1 species